rnacentral:rRNA from 1 species
UACGUAGGGUGCAAGCGUUGUCCGGAAUUAUUGGGCGUAAAGAGCUCGUAGGCGGUUUGUCGCGUCUGCUGUGAAAACUCGGGGCUUAACCCCGGGCCUGCAGUGGGUACGGGCAGACUAGAGUGCGGUAGGGGAGACUGGAAUUCCUGGUGUAGCGGUGAAAUGCGCAGAUAUCAGGAGGAACGCCCGUGGCGAAGGCGGCUCUCUGGGACGGUACUGACGCUGAGACGCGAAAGCGUGGGGAGCGAACAGG